rnacentral:misc_RNA from 1 species
GAUGAAGAACGUAGCGAAAUGCGAUAAGUAAUGUGAAUUGCAGAAUUCAGUGAAUCAUCGAAUCUUUGAACGCACCUUGCACUCCUUGGUAUUCCGAGGAGUACGCCUGUUCGAGUGUUAUGAAGCUCUCAAAACGCAAUUGGCUUAAAACCUGAUUGUUGUUUUGGAUUUGAACUUUGCCGUGUUAUAACGGCUGGUUUUAAAAGUAUUAGCUGGUACUAGAACGAAUUGGUUCUACUCAACGUGAUAAUUAUCUGAUCGUUGAGGACAUUCCUUUCACGAGGAAUGACCAUAGUAAAUUCAAUGGACUGCUUCUAAUCUGGCUUUAAUUCUUUAUUGGAUUAACCACUUUUCAAAUCUGACCUCGAAUCAGGUGGGACUACCCGCUGAACUUAAGCAUAUCAAUAAGCGGAGGA